UGCAAGUCGAACGCGCCCUUGGGCUUCGGUCUGGGGGUGAGUGGCGCACGGGUAGUAGCGCGUGGGAACCUGCCUAGUCGUGGGGGAUAACCGAGGGAAACCUCGGCUAAUACCGCAUACGCCGGGGGUAACUCCGGGAAAGAUUUAUCGCGAUUAGAGGGGCCCGCGUCGGAUUAGCUAGUUGGUGGGGUAACGGCCUACCAAGGCAGUGAUCCGUAGCUGGUCUGAGAGGAUGAUCAGCCACACUGGGACUGAGACACGGCCCAGACUCCUACGGGAGGCAGCAGUGGGGAAUAUUGGACAAUGGGCGCAAGCCUGAUCCAGCAAUGCCGCGUGAGUGAGGAAGGCCUUAGGGUUGUAAAGCUCUUUCACCCACGACGAUGAUGACGGUAGUGGGAGAAGAAGCCCCGGCUAACUUCGUGCCUGCAGCCCGCGGUAAUACGAAGGGGGCGAGCGUUGUUCGGAUUUACUGGGCGUAAAGGGCGCGCAGGCGGCAGACCAAGUCAGGCGUGAAAGCCCCGGGCUUAACCUGGGAGGUGCGUCUGGGACUGGUCAGCUAGAGUUCGGGAGAAGAAAAGUGGAAUUCCCAGUGUAGAGGUGAAAUUCGUAGAUAUUGGGAAGAACACCGGUGGCGAAGGCGGCUCUCUGGACCGAGACUGACGCUUAGGCGCGAAAGCGUGGGGAGC
rnacentral:rRNA from 1 species